CUUAGCAGAGAGUUGAAAAAUUUGUCUAGUUUUUUUCCUCUCAACUCAACUUUUAUCUUGAGGGUGAGAACAGAGACAAAAAUGGCUGAGUAAAGAGUAAAUACGAUUAAUGGAAUUUUAGUCAUAAGGUUAAUUUUGGGGUUAAGUAAGAAGAUCAUGCCCCCCUUUGGAAUCAAAAUCAAGAUAUUUAUUCAAUAAACUAUGGUUUAAUUGAUUUAAUUUAAUUCAAUUCAAUUUAAUUGAUUUAAUUUAAUUCAAUUCAAUUAAUAUAAAUAACAAAACUUUUGCAUAGACAGAAGUAAGUUGCUAAAGAUUUUCAUAGCCUGGUAAAACUAACCUUAAAAAUAAAAACAACAAUUGGAGUUUGUGCUUCAAAAAUAGCAAUGAACAGGAGUUGCCACAAUUCAUAACAGGCCUAAUAAAUAUAAAUAAGGUUAAAGAAUCAGAAAUAAUGUUGAUGGAUUGCUGAAGACAGAGAAUUUUUUAGUUAGAAUCAAGAAGAAAAAAUGUUUCUACCUCAUUGAUGACGGUAUGAAGGUUAGAGAAAUUACUUCCAUGUGUCUGUAAGUAAUCAGUCAUCAAAAAAUUUUGAGGAAUAAAAGGCUAAAAACUCCUA